rnacentral:snRNA from 1 species
GGAUGUGAGGGCGAUCUAGCUGUGACAUCUGUCACCCCACUGAUCACCAGGAUUGAUUUGGCUGAUCUGGCUGGCUAGGCGGGGUGUCCCCUUCCUCCCUUACCAUUCCAAGUGCAUCCCUCCCGAAGCUGCGUGCUCAGUCAAAGAGGACAACCUUCCCCGAUAGAGGAGAGGACUGUUUUUCGGUCAAGGAUAUAUGAGUAGCUGCGCCCCACUGCUAGCUCUCAAGACCUAAGAGAGGCCACCCAGAGUAUUUCCUGAAAUUGGAUAGGG